AUGCUGGGUGUCGGGUCACUAAACAGGCCGGCUCUGUGUACUCUCCCGGCCCUCGUCGCCCUCCCUCGCUGGUGUCUGUCAAGGUGUCUUGUUCUCCCCGGCGUCCCCUCGAGCGCCCCCAGCCCAGCGGCUCUGCGGACUGUCCCGAAGUCCUGGAACCCGCGGGACGGUCAGAGGCUUUGGCGGCCAGAUGUUAGGGGAAGUGUCCGCGCUCUCCGCCGCCCCUGGGCACCCUGGCGCGCGAGCCGGCCACCGAGGGAGCCAGAGCCAUUUGAGAUAGAACUGGGAACAGGAAGCCCACUGUCUCAGAGGACUGGAUCAACAAUGGUGCUCCCCAAGUACCUGAAGGCUGCAGGAUCUCAGGGCAGUGAGGGAGAGGAAGGAAAGAACCAACGCCCUUUGUGCUCCAGGCCUGGGAUCAGUUUUCAUGGUGACCUGUCCCAGAACCAAAGAAGCUUCGUCUACUUGAAUUAAAG
rnacentral:lncRNA from 1 species